AAAACUUUACAAGACCCAUUUGCUAUACUUACAGGUUAUACUUGGGUUAGUCUUGAAUCAAAGAAGAGGAAACAAGAGAAACAAAAACCUAAAAAGAGUGGUAAAAAAGCAGAGCAAGUUAGCUCUUGAUUCUUUUUUUUUUUUUUGGUUCAUCAUUAUUUUGUAACAUAAAUUUAGACAUUUGUAAUGAUUAUACUUUCAUUUCGAGUGGGUUUAUUCCUUAAUUUUAUUUGAAGUGUGAUGUAACCAACUUCAUUCGUUCUGCUUCAUUUGGCAAAGUGUGUUAUGAUGACUUGCGAGAGAAAGGUUUUAGACCACCGGUUCUUAGUAAACCAGUCCGGUUUCUUAAUAGACAAUAAAGGCAAGUGUUGGUUCUCGAGCCCGACUGCUUCUGCUCUCCAUCGGUCUUGAUCACAUCGGGCAAGUGUUGACCGUAGGCUGGUUUUGCAGAAAAUUCCCGAGAGACUAGCGGUCUUCUCCAUCGGCCAAAGACAAGCCGUAUCAUAACAAUGGCUCGUGCAUCGGCGAAGUCUCCACCCAGGUAUAAGUCAACCUCUUCUCUUUGACCGGUCUGCUCCGGUUUAAAUCAAGUGAACCAGUGUAAUUACAAAUCGAUUUUGCCGGUUUUCUCUUCUUCAUCCUCCUUCCCCAAAUCGAUUUCUUCCCCUCUCCACUUUCACGGCUCCUUUCUCUUUCACAACACACACAUCGAUCUCUCUCAAUUCUCCACCAAAAUCUUUGAAAUUUUGUGCUUUCAAUCCGAAAUCCUUAGCCCAUUCGAUUAAUUCCUGUACCAAAUCCCAAUUCUAUCUCUUUCUCCGUCGAUUUCAAGACGUAGGAGGAGAGUAAAUAAGAGCCUCAUCUAUGGAGAGUAAUGCAAAAAAGAAUUCUAGUGACGAUGGUCAACAACAUGACAUUGCUAUUGUCGGUGGUGGAAUGGUUGGAAUCGCUUUAGCUGCUUCAUUGGCAAGCAAGCCAUUGACAAAGCACUUGAAUGUGGCUAUCAUUGACAAUAA